AUAUUUUCCUGGAGGUUGCUCCCUUUGGAGUUUUUCUGUGAGCCUACAACAUGGGUAGAAAAAAUGUGAGCAAAUGGAAGGAUGAGACUUACAGCCAGAUUCUUCUAAACCAGACUAAAAUACUCUGAUAGCGCUGUUACCAUCCAUCUUUAGAUAUAAACAUUCAUUUCAUCUUUUUUUCAGAUUUUAGCUUUAAGGAAACACAUUAAAUAGUCACUUCAUUAAAAAAUUCUUCAACAUCUGUUAGCAUAUGUUUUUAUGUUUGAGAAUAUUAUUCCUGACGUACAAUCAUAAUAAAACUGCAUCUUGUGUAACUGCUUUUUCUGUCUUUACAGGAUGUAAAGUUGUAUUCUUUGUUGUAUUGUACUUGAAUGUAUGAUAUUGCACCCAAACUUAUUACUUAUCCCUAAAAUAUUAUGGACUGAGUUUUCUUUAUGUUUUUGUUCCUUUGGUUGUGUAAAAGAGCCUUGAAAAUGGCUGCGGAUUUGGCAGGGGCUUACAUAGACAUGUCAGUUUUGAUGUGUUCAUAAUGACUUACAGUGCCCAACAUAUGAAUGAUGAAAACCAGAAGAGAGUGGUUCAUUGACUGUCAUUUCCUAUGCUUGUCUUUCCUCAUGCAAUGUGGCUGUGAAACAUUUUCUUAUGGACAAUAUUGUGUUCUGCAUAUUUUUUUUGCAGUCGUUUUCUGCAUAUGUAAAUAGAGCUACAGGGUGCAAGAUUCUUCUCUUUUCAAACCAGUUCAUUCAGGAUGAAAUGAUAAAAUAUAGUGGAAACAUAAAGAAAUUAGGGAACUGUGACAAUGGCAAAAGUAUAAAUGUAUACAAGAAAAUGUGUCUUACAUGAUAACACCCUUUACAUACAAACACAUACUUUGUCAGCAAGCCUGGUCCUUUUGAAAUAGAGUUCAGGCAGAUAAUUGUAGAAGUAGUAAUGACUGGAGUGUGUGCUCAAAUGCAGGCUUGGCAUAGCACCAUGUAAUAAAUUCAUAAAUGCUGUUCAUAAUUGCAACAAGCUAUUAGAGAUUGGAUUUAAGUGUGAUGAGUGACAUGACCAGAUGACAUCAGAGGAAAAUAAAAGCUGUUUUUUUUUGAUACUCUCGUUUUCUACUUGCCUUUGUAUAUUCAAUAUUAAGUCAAAAGUCUCUACCUAAUAGCAGAUAAGGCUGUAUGCCUACUACCUGUGUGCUCCUUGAAACACAGAUCUUGGAUCUAUCCGUGUGGUUGCUGUAAUCUGCUUAUUUAUGCGUAGAGGCCAUUCUCAGUUCUGCCUGUCAUAUCUGUGGAUCUGUAGAGGCUCUUCUGCUUGAAUAAACUGGUAUAU
rnacentral:lncRNA from 1 species